GGUUCAUGGACAUCUCAAGAAGCAAAUGCACGCUUAAAAUGUGUUUAUUUUCCAGUUACAGAGGGGGGAGAGAGCAUUGAAAUGAUUAUAGAGAAGUUAAAUUCUAAAGGACGGGAGUUCCUGAAAACUAUGAAACUUUCAGUCGUGUUGCUAUCUGUCAUCUUGGUCGUCUUUUUCCAAAUGCUCGCUGGGCAUGGCUUUUCUUUUAUGGAUUUGAGGCAGAAAAAGGGAGAUAAGGCUCACCUACUGAAGAGAUGUUGCUCAAGAGCAAAAUGCUUCAUUGGUAGGGUAAUUGAAUAUUUUUUAAGUCACUACUAUCCAUGUACUUUCCAGUCACUGGGAUGUGAUUUGUUUUCCUCUCAUAUAAGGCAUGUUCUACAAAACCUGUUUGGUUGUAGAUACUAAUGAUAGUUUUAAUCCGACACCUUCUAAGGUAAGGAAUGUAGUGAAAUUUCCAUGUGUUUGUACCAUCUCAUGCUGCAACCUGUCUUUUCUACAGUUUUGUUUGAUUGUGAUUUGCUAAGCCCUCAUUACCAAAGUUAUUUUAUGUAUUGGGGCAGAUUAGCGUAUCUUUAAAAGCUAAUGUUUUCUAAAUAUUAAUUUGGAAAAAACAUUUCUUAUUACUAGUUGUUUCUACUCUCAGCAUAUGCCUGCAAUGUUCAAUUCUCUCUCACCAAGAUUUUCAAAGAUGGUUACUGACAUUGCAACUAAACUAAAAUAAUUCUAAAUUCAGUUUUUGGAUGUGGUGAAGUAAUUGUAUACUCUUUUUGUGUUGAUUUUUUUUUGUCAAAUGACGAUGAUUUAACAUAUUGAUUUAGCACACCAGAACCCGUUUACCAUAGCUUUGAAGAAUUUUGGUGUUAUUACUUGUAAGAAGACAAAGGUAAUUCUUAUUUGCAAAUUGUAAAUAUGGGGCUAGUUUUAAUUAGUUUGUUUGAAUUGUUACACUAUCUUCCCAAUGUUAUAAUUUCCAAAUUUGCCGAUUUCAAUGUUGAAAUUUGUAGAGCUGGAAAACUGUUAACUCCUUUGCAACUGGAAAAGGAAUAUCAAGACUGGCUUUUGCAGAUGCAUGAUCAUUAUGAUGAAGAAAAUAACGUUGGAGCAGAUCAACCAAUUUUUAACAUUAGCCCCAAAAACAAAAAGUCACCGGGCAUUUCAUCUGAUGUUUCAAGGGUGCACCAAGUACUAAAGAGAAAGGGUUUAACAUGGAAAUGAGGUCAAAGAGUUAAGGUUUUCAAGGGAGCAUGUGCUGGAGUUCAUAACAACAAUAUUUAUGCAACAAUGGAAUAUUUGGUCUUCAAGGGGAUGCUGCUGGUGAUGCUCGAAUUAUAUGCAGGCCAAUAGGUCUCAUGGAUAAGGAAGGAUGUGUCCUCAUGGAGAACAAUGGGACUGUCAGCUUGGAUAUUUUUGGCUCCUCAUCGUCACCUAUUAGCAUAAUUGAUUUUGGAAAGUGUGUAUGUAUGGACAAUAUUGAUUGGGAAUUGCAACUAGAGAAGCAACGUCAAAAAACUCCUGCUUUGAUUGACUUGUUGAACGCAACACAAUGUCAAAAAAUUAGAUGUUGAUGGGGCAUUACCUUUCAGUGCAAAAGAUGGAGAAGUACCUCUUAGAGAAAUUGUGGUUGUUGUUUGGCCUACCAAUGCUGUUUCUUCUAGUGCUUCAAAGAAGUUGGACCAAAAGUACAUUGUUAAGAAUAAUUUAGAGAUGAUCAUGGAAGUCGGAUUCAAAGGUGAAAGGAAGAAUCUUCAAAAGAGUAUCAACAUAUACACAGCUAAUGGACCACCUACUUCUACGAAAGGGUAUCAAGGUUUAUAUAUAUUUGAAUUCGGGUGCAAGUUACCAAACUUCUUCAGAAUGUUGGGAUGCAUAGUCAAGCUGUAAGAGUUGUGAGAGACAGGUGGUAGUUAAGGGAUCUUCUAAGGUUGGAAAUUGGAGAUUGUUGAGUUGUAAACAGAGCCCAAAGUUCUGUGUUCGUUGGUUCGUGCUUUCCACCUUUAUCCAUUGCGUGCUACGACAUCUAUGAUAAUCGGAUUCCAUUUGCAUCUGUUAUGGGGUGAUAGUCAAACUUUAUGCAAGCACGAGUGUUAAUAUUCAUGUAGACAAGUUCAAGAUACACCUUUCAGCUGAUAAAUUGACUCUUAAUAUUGAGGAUAUUCUGAUUGAAAGCUAUGAGUUGGACAAGAUCCAGCCACAUUAUUAGACUACCUUGGUAAUAUCUCCACAAGAUGAAUUGGUGUUAGUUUCAAUUCCAUGUCUAGUUAUUCUUGGAUCUUUAAAGCAUGUCACUAUCCAAUCACCAAAUUUUGGGAACAAUUUGCUUCCAGGCUCUAUGGUUAAGCAGCUUAAAUAUGAGAUGUUUGAUUCAUAUAGUAAUCACGUGAACAAAGGUUUGGAAGCUGAAUUGAACUUGGAUGGAUUUCGAUUUGAAGAUCAAUUGGGCAUAAAGCGUAAGUAUCAAUUAAAAUUUUAUGUGAUAAUGAAGUCAUUUUCAAUCAAGAGUUUCGAACUCAGAAAAGGGAAUUGAGAAUUGUAUUUGGGGUGCCUGAAUGUUGUCCUAUUGGUUCUCAACUUGAAAAUAUGGUUUUUGAGGUUGCUGAUUGCAAUGGUGAUGCUGAUGCAAGUAUCCAUGAUAAUGAGGAAGGUGGCCGAUCCCGUACACUCAAGAUAAGGUCAAAAUCUAUUGGCACAGAAGAUUCAGUUCGGUAUGCUUUCAGGCAUGGGCACUGCACUGUUCCUGCUAUUCCCCUUCCUCAGUGUGAGGGAUGCUUUUGCUUUGUAGCUGUGCAUUCUUGUUACACAGAGCUACAUCUAAGCAUCAAUGUUGCAACAAAUUUUAUGUUCCUCUUUUGCAAAGUCCAAAAACGGAGUCCGGUGAGAUACCUUCAUAUUUUGAUGGAAAGUUACAACUUCUCGAGGGCUCAACUCCCCUCAAACAUGUAGGCAACCUUGCGGUAUCCAUCAUAAAGACUGAGAAGGAACUUGAGAGUGAAAUUUGCAAAAUAUAGUUCGCGUAUCAGGAAUCAUGAAGUGGCAUUGAAAAUUGUUAUGAUCAAACGGCAGAAGUCGAGCAAGUCUUAUCUCAAUUGCAAGCUUCAACUGAACCUCACAUUUUGACUGAUCCAUACUCCUUGCUUACAAAAGAGGAAAUAACUCUCGUCGUCCACCUCCUCCUGUUUCAUGUCCGACACCAACUUCUUCGUCAUCCGAUCCAGUUUUAAAUGAUGAUCUUCAUAUUGUAUUGCGAAAAGGUAAGCGACAGUGUACGUAUCCUGUUUCUUCUUGUGUUUUUUAUGAUCAUUUGUCACAUUCAUCAUGUUCCUUUAUUACUUUCCUUGAUUCUAUUACUAUCCUUAAAACUGUUCAUGAAGACCUUUCUCAUCUUGGUUGGCGUAAUGCAAUGAGAAAGGAAAUGAAUGCCUUAGCUGACAAUGGUACUUGGAAAUUGGUAGAUUUACCUUCAGGGAAACAGACAAUUGGAUGUAAAUGGGUGUUUACAGUUAAAGUUAAUCCAGAUGGGUUAGUUGCUCGGUUAAAAGCUCGUCGGGUUGCUAAAGGUUAUGCUCAGACCUACGGAGUUGAUUAUUCUGAUACUUUUUCCCUUGUGUCUAAGUUCACCUUUAUUCGGUUGUUUAUCUCUAUGGCAGCUACUUAUGAUUGACCUUUGCAUCAGCUAGACAUCAAGAAUGCUUUUCUUCACGACGAUCUUUAGGAAGAGGUAUAUAUGGAGCAACCUCCUAGGUUUGUUGCUUAGGGGGAGUAUGGGAAAGUAUGUUAUCUUCGCAAAUCUCUGUAUGGUUUAAAACAAAGUCCUUGUGCUUGGUUUAGAAAGUUUAGUCAGGCUGUUGAGAGAUUUGGUAUGCUGAAAUGUAAAACUGACCAUUCUGUUUUCUACAAACGGUCUGAAGCUCGCAUCAUUCUUCUAGUUGUGUAUGUGGAUGAUAUUGUUAUUACUGGGAGUGAUAAUGUGGGCAUCACAUCUCUUAAGUCUUUUCUCCAUACCCAGUUCCAUACAAAAGACUUAGAGAUAUUGAAGUAUUUCUUGGGGGUUGAAGUUACAAGGAGCAAACGAGCCUCUCUCAGAGGAAAUAUGUGCUCGACUUAUUAACUGAGACAGGGAAAUUCGGGGCAAAGCCAUGUAGUGCUCUGAUGGUUCCUAAUAUGCAGCUUACGAAAGAUGGUGAACUAUUUGGAGAUCCUAAGAAAUAUAGAAGAUUGGUCGGGAAGUUGAACUAUCUUACGGUGACUCGUCUAGAUAUUGCAUAUUCAGUAAGUGUUGUCAGUCAGUUUAUGGCCUCCCCAACAGUUCAUCAUUGGGCGGCUUUGGAGCAGAUCUUGUGUGAUUUGAAAAGAUCCCCUGGAUGUGGUAUAUUAUAUGCCAAUCAUAGUCACUCUCAUAUUGAAUGUUUCUCAGAUGCAGAUUGGGUAGGUUCCAAGGUAGAUAGAAGAUCCACAUCAGGCCAUUGUGUCUUUGUCGGAGGAAAUUUAGUAUCAUGGAAGAGCAAGAAGCAGAAUGUCGUGUCAUGAUCAAGUGCAGAGUCGGAAUAUAAGGCUAUGGCACAAGCUGUUUGUGAAAUAAUGUGGAUAUAUCAGUUCCUGAUUGAAAUAGGCCUUGAAACUUCAGUACUAGCGAAAUUAUGGUGUGAUAACCAAGCGGCUUUUCAUAUUGCAUCUAAUCCAGUGUUCCAUGAACGAACGAAACACAUUGAGAUCGAUUGCCAUUUUGUUCGUGAGAAACUACAACAAGGUCCGAUUUUCACUGGGUACAUGAAGACUGGAGAACAGUUGGGAGAUAUCUUUACAAAGGCUCUGAGUGGGAUUUGAGUUGAUUAUCUUUGUAACAAGCUGGGUAUGAUUGAUAUUUAUACUCUAGCUUGAGGGGGAGUGUUACAAAUGUAUAUAACUUCCUGGAUUAUAGGGAUUACAUUGAUAUCCUGGAUUAUUGGGAUCACAUUGACAUCCUGGAUUAUAGGGUUCACAUUGAUCUUGUAUCCUAAUAGAAAUUGAUCACCUACCUAGUUUAGAACACUACGAGUGUAUAUAAAUAUGUAUACUUUUAAUCUAUGGAUGACAAGAGUGAAUAUUCUUCCUUAGUACGUCUUUACAUUUAUGUAAAACUCUAAAUCUUUCUAAGCUAUAUUUUAACAAUUUA